UGAUUUGAAUUUCAUAUUUUGUGAUUGAAUAUACCAUUGGGGUUUAGGUUGCAAUGUGAUUUUGAUUUGCAAUUUUUUUUCCCUAUUGGGUCUUGUGGUUAGUGCUUUGAUAUGGAUGUUUGGCUGUGGGAUUGGGGUUCAAAAAAAAUUGGGGUUUUUGUUUUUGGUUGAUUGUGAAUCCAUAAGUAUUUUUUGAUUUGGGAUUUUCAGAGUUGGGUAUGUAUAUUGCUUGUGCUCAUUUGGCUAUAGGUUUGGGUUUGUGCUUGUGUUUGAAAGGUGGGUUUUAUGUUGACCCAGAGGCGAAGCUCCUGUUUAUCAUUCGCAUUCGUGGUAUCAAUGCCAUGCACCUAAAGACUAGAAAGAUCUUGCAGCUCUUGCGUUUGAGACAGGUAUUACAUGAAACUCACCCCUUAUGGUACUAUAAAAUGGCAUCUGGUUAUUGUAGUUUUUAUUUAUGUUUUUGUGUUGGUCAUGACGGUAAAUAUAUCCUUUUGAAGGCUAAGGCAGGUUCAGACUAUUUGCUUAUUGUACUGGGUAGUUUUCGUAAAAGUACUCGUUUUUAAAGCUAUUUAAGUUUAAGCUCCUUGGGUCAUUGUCUAGAAAUCUUUGAGGCAAAGCUCAAACAUCUAGUGUCAAGGUGUUUGGGUGUAAGCACCUUUUUUAUUUUGACCUUUUAGAACUUUAUAUAAGCAUUAAGUACACAUUAUUUCUAGUAGGUUUACUGCUGAAUAGUUUGAAACUUGAAGCCCUUUGUUGUGAGUGUUAUGAAAAGCUAAUCUAAAACUAUGCCUGAUUCUUUUAUUCUGAAUGCUGGGACAUGCCUGAUUCUUUUAUUCUUUUAAUCUGAAACCAUGAUAAGCUAACUGACACUGAAUGCUGAAACUUGGCCCACGUAUUUGGUCAUCAAAGGUAAGUUUCAAUUGCAUUGAAUUCAGCCCAAUAUUUUAAAGAAAAUUAAACAGAGGCAUCAUUCGUGGCCGCCACCUCGCCUCCAUUAAUGACCAGUCGCCUCUUGCUUUCUCCGCUGGAAACGUCACUCUCCUCAGUAAUUCUUUGGGAUUGAGAUAUUUUUGGUUCCCGAUAAGAGAAAGAGUUGUUUUUUAGUGGCCAGUUGUAUUAUUACACAGGCAGUGAUUUGUUCGGGAUACCAUGUGAUUGUCAGAAAAAUGGUUGCAUAAAGGCCUUAUAGUCAUCAUCUGGAGCGGGGUACGUUAAGUUAAACACAAAUUCUUCAUAGCAGGGAUGGGUUCUGGACAUUGGUUUAAGACAAUAAUUGGCUCAAAGAAAGGGAAGCGCGGCAGUUCAAAACAAGUAAAGGUCUACCUGCUUCUUUUGUAACUUGGAUUAGCCAAAUGCCACAGUUUGUUCUAGAGUCAGAAAUCCCAAAGGUAUUGACACAAAACCCAAGGGUCUGUUGUACAUGAAGCCCUAUAGCGGCGCUUAUUGACCACUGCUAUAGGUGACAACAUAUAGUGGCGGGCCUAUCCUACCGCUAAAAGGCCUCUUCACCCAAAUCGCAACCUCAUAUGGCGGCGGUUUUUAGCCCGCCGCAAUAGACCAAAAGCGCUACUAAAUGGCAGAUCUAUUGUGGCGCUUUUCGCGACCGCCACAAUUGACCUAUAGUGGCACUGUAGCAUUGACGGGAUGGCCUGCCGCAAUAGCGCCCGCCGCUAUAGGCCAAAUGUACCUUUAGUGGUGCUUUUUUGGGCUUUAGCGGCGCUUCUGGCCCGCCGCAAUAGCCCGUUUUUCUUGUAAUGUUAAUUUUAUACUCCUUUCUACCCAAAAAAA